rnacentral:rRNA from 1 species
UACGUAGGGGGCUAGCGUUGUUCGGAUUUACUGGGCGUAAAGCGCGUGUAGGCGGAUCGUUAAGUCGGGGGUGAAAGCCCAGAGCUCAACUCUGGAAUUGCCUUCGAUACUGGCGGUCUGGAGCAGAGAAGAGGCGAGUGGAAUUCCGAGUUUAGAGGUGAAAUUCGUAGAUAUUCGGAGGACCACCAGUGGCGAAGGCGGCCCGCUGGUCUCUUGCUGACUCUGAGACGCGAAAGCGUGGGGAGCAAACAGG